GACAGGUAUAGUGGUUAGCAUGGUUGCCUCACACCUCAAAGGUUGGGGGUUCGAUUCCCGCCGCUGCCC